rnacentral:rRNA from 1 species
GUGAGGAAUAUUGGGCAAUGGAGGCAACUCUGACCCAGCCAUGCCGCGUGCAGGAAGACGGUCCUAUGGAUUGUAAACUGCUUUUAUACGGGAAGAAACACCCCCUCGUGAGGGGACUUGACGGUACCGUAAGAAUAAGGAUCGGCUAACUCCGUGCCAGCAGCCGCGGUAAUACGGAGGAUCCAAGCGUUAUCCGGAAUCAUUGGGUUUAAAGGGUCCGUAGGCGGCCUUAUAAGUCAGUGGUGAAAUCUCCUAGAUCAACUAGGAAACUGCCAUUGAUACUGUAGGGCUUGAAUUAUUGUGAAGUAACUAGAAUAUGUAGUGUAGCGGUGAAAUGCUUAGAUAUUACAUGGAAUACCAAUUGCGAAGGCAGGUUACUAACAAUAUAUUGACGCUGAUGGACGAAAGCGUGGGUAGCGAACAGGAUUAGAAACCCGGGUAGUCC